rnacentral:rRNA from 1 species
UGCGUAGGUGGUGAGGUAAGUCGGAUGUGAAAGCUCCGAGCUCAACUCGGAAAUGGCAUUGGAAACUACCUUGCUCGAGGGUUUGAGGGGGGACUGGAAUACUUGGUGUAGCAGUGAAAUGCGUAGAUAUCAAGUAGAACACCAGUGGCGAAGGCGAGUCCCUGGAAAACUCCUGACACUGAGGCACGAAAGCUGGGAGCAAACA